rnacentral:misc_RNA from 1 species
GAUGAAGAACGCAGUGAAAUGCGAAAAGUAAUGUGAAUUGCAGAAUUCAGUGAACCAUCGAAUCUUUGAACGCACAUUGCGCCCGCUGGAACUCCGGCGGGCACGACUGUCCGAGCGUCAUUUCAACCCUCAGGCCCCCCUUCGCGGGCGGGCCUGGUGUUGGGGCCCGGCCGCUACCCUGCGGCCGUCCCCUAAAUUCAGUGGCGGCCUCGCCGUGAUCCCUUGCGUAGUAAUGCACCUCGCACCGGAGAGCGCCGUGGCCACGCCGUAAAACCCCCAAUUUUCAAUGGUUGACCUCGGAUCAGGUGGGAAUACCCGCUGAACUUAAGCAUAUCAAUAAGCGGAGGA